rnacentral:rRNA from 1 species
CCCUUAGAUGUUCUGGGCCGCACGCGUGCUACACUGAGUGGAUCAGCGGGUCAGGUUGCGCGAAAGUGUUUCCUAAUCUUUAAAUCCGCUCGUGAUGGGGAUUGACGGUUGCAAUUUUCCGUCAUGAACGAGGAAUACCUUGUAAGCGCGGGUCAUCAUCCCGCGCUGAAUACGUCCCUGCCCUUUGUACACACCGCCCGUCGCUCCUACCGAUUGAGUGGUCCGGUGAGGCUUUGGGAUCUGGGCGGAAAGAGCGUUUCGCUGUUUCUGCCCGGAAAACUCAGUCGAACCUUAUCAUUUAGAGGAAGGAGAAGUCGUAAC